AAACCACAUAAAUCACCCAUGUUACACCCUGGCCUAACCAAAAUAAUAAAGAGAACACAGAAUACUAAGACCAGGGCGUGACAUAUUUGGACUUUUGCUUUACAUUAUGGAGGUACCGUAGUACUCUGAAGAGCAUGGAGCUGAGUGAGAUUGGAGGAGUAGCUAAGGUGGUGAAGAGUCGUAUCUUCUCUGUUGCCUUCCACCCGUGUAGCAGUCGUCUGCUGAUGGCUGCUGAGGACAAGUUGGGUGGAGUUGGGCUGUGGAACUUUGAGCGUACUCUCUCAGUAUCUCACGCAGCCACACAGCUUUGUUUUUGUCAAUUUCCAGGACUUUUUGGAGAGUAAAAAUGUGUUUAUUCAAAAUCCUAACUUUAACCUUAACCCGAAACCUUGUCAGGACAUUCUGGUGACUUAUCAGAACAUUGUGGUCCUGAUUAAGGCAGUAUCACAUUCGCCUAUGAUUGAGAGUCCCAUAGGGUGGCGCAUAUUUGUCCCAGUGUCGUCUGGGUUUCGUCAUUGGUUGUUUUUUUAUAUUGUAUGUUUUAUCUCCAAGACACUUUUGCUAUUGUUUUGUAAGUCAAUAAAGUUAUAGCUGAAGUUGCA